GAAACCAAGCGGAGUGUCCUUUGGAGCCUCUGGACGGUGUGCAGUCGGACAGCUUGGUUUCUGUCUAAUGAAACUCAUUUCAGGCUUCUCACCUCCAGAACUAGCCUGAGAGUGAGGCCUUUGAAUGAUGCCCUGGACAGAGCUUGGAACAUGAAGGUGAAUACUGUUGUGGGGAGAAUGCAUCCCUUUGCCUGGCUCUGAGCCAGGGCCAGCUUUGGAUCCUGCUAGCCCCAUGGAUAUAGAGAGAUAAGCUUGAAAGAUGCCAGCAGGGCCUGCUAAAAGCCUGCAAAAAUGACAAGGAAGAUUACACAGCUGGAAAAAACUGUUUCAACAUUUCUUGUGACAUAAAAAAGCAAAGCCUGAAACAACAAAAAAACCUACACGUAAGAGACGAGAACAUCUGUGAAAAACCAGUGGGUGAAAAUCACAGGAAUCCCGGCUUUAAAUCCAUAUAAAGAAGACCUCCAGCAGCCAGAGUCAUCCAACAGCAAGACAGGCUUCUGGAGAGAGAGUGAGGUCCCAGUUCCUAAAAGUAUACAAGGGCUGCUUACCAGCACUCACUCUGUGGGGGAGGCCAGCUUUCAUGUCAUGAGGACACUCAAGUAGCCCUCUGGAGAGGCUCUCAUGGUGAGGAACUAAGGCGUUCUACCAAUAACCAUGCAGUGUGCCAUCUUGGAAGCAGAUCUUCCAGCACCAGUCCAACCUUCAGAUGACUGCAGCCCAGGCCAACAUCUUGACUGCAACUUCAAGAAAGACCCCAAGCCAUAACCACUCAGCUAAGCCAUUUCCAAUUCCUGAUUCUCAAAACCUGUAUGAGAUAAUAAAAUUGUUUGUUGUUGUUUUAACC
rnacentral:lncRNA from 1 species